GUAAACAGCUAAGUAGCCUAAUUCAUGACAUUAACAAAUGCAAUGGUAUAUUUAGACCCCUGUCCAGUGUGCGGAGAACCCUAAAGGAUCAGGUGGAGUUAUAAUAUAUGACCAGAUGAUGUUCGCCAUGAACAAACAACACUUGGUGGCAGUUCUUCUCUCUAGAGGUGAAAAACUCUGUCAGACCAGUUCUGUUGUAAUGGCAAGUGAAGACAAGAAAGAGAAAUGAUUCCCAAGACCUUAACAUCUCACCAUUUAUACUUCAAAUAAAGAGUGAGACAGAAGCAGGAAACACUGGAGAAAUUCACCCUGAAGCUGGUUUUGAUAAUACAAACACAUUUAGAGUUUCUGUCCAGUAUGUGGACGACCAAGAAGCGAUUUCUGAAGACACAUUUGAGGACAAUAAUAUAUUAAUUAGCCCUACUGUAAAGCUUUCAGUGCAAUGCAUGGAGAACCAGAGAGGCCUUCAUGGGCAAAUUGUGUAUGAUGAUGUGUCAUACCCCAUCCAUCUCCAACCUCAGGCUGAGCCAGAUGAUGAUGAAGGCAUUGUAAUCGACACAGAGGAAGAUAAAGGCCUAUGUGCAUUUGAUGUGAACUGCAUCAUAUAGAAGGUCAGGUUAUAGCUUGAAGGUCUUUUCACAUUAAGAAAGGUUUAGUUAACGUGGAAUGAGAUGAGGACAAGAUUAUUAAUGGAGACUACCUUCAAUUAUAAAGCAUAGUGUUAGUUCUGGCAGGUCACAUCAGUCAAGCUCAUAUCAUUUGACUCUCAGCUAUAAGAAUACAAUGCCUAUUUCAUUAUAUAUAGUUCUUCAGUAUUAUCAGCAGCUUUCUCAUUGCUCAAUAGCUGAUUACUUUCCUCCAUUCCAGCUCCUCCUCUCGUUCAGUCAGGAUUCGGCCUUUUGAUUCUCCAUUGAAUCAGACUAAUUCUAAAAUGUGUACAUUAAAUUAUUGAACAAUAAUGAUCUGCAAUACAUUUAUGUUGGUUCUGUUCUGUUUACCCUGUUUAUUGUGCGCUCUCUGUUCUU
ensembl:lncRNA